AAGUCUCGAGUCCAGCUGGAAGAAAAAUGCACAGAAGUCGUUUUCUUGACAACCGUUAUGGGACUCAUCCUGGCUUCUCCGUACUGGUUUCCUUUAGGACUGCUAAUUUUUCAAUUUGGUCUGAGCUCAGCCAAGGGAUGCUGUAACUUCAAGUGGUCACUAAAUGAACUGUUGUAUGUCGAGGACUAUCUGUAGCUGCUCCGAAGAAAAACCUGGUGCGUUACCUUCCGCAUUUGUAGAUAACAGCAGCCCAGCUUUUAUAUCAACAGUGCUGGAGAAACUCUGAGAAAUCUACAACAGAGGAAUGGUUAAUCAAGGCGACAGAACUGCCAACUCAGAUAAUCCUAUUCAUGCAAUCCAGUAUUUAUUUUUGAAGCCACAUUGUACACUGACUCACAAUCUGACUAUGACAGCUCCAAGAUUCCCCUUUGGUCUGAGGUAAAUUUACCAUAUAUGCCUGUGUAAUGUGUGUUACGAUUUCAUUCUGUUGUUUGCAGUCCAUUGUUCUAAUUAAUUCAAAACCGUUCUGGGUUUUAUCUUGGUUUUCCAAAGAAUUAGCAAUCCCAUUCCGUAAUGGGUCUUUUGCAAAUUAAAAAAACAAAACAAAAAACACCACCAUAUCAUUCCCCCAAACCAUUAAAAACUUGAAGGCCAAACCAUGGAAUGCGGUGUUGUUGAGUCAACCGUUUGGUAGAGUUCAUCUCUCGGCAAUUUUAUACGCAAGUUGCCUAUAAAAUGAAUUUGCAAAGCCAUUUGUCUGAAAUGGUGCAGGGUAGGGGUGUCAAACUCAAGGCCCCGGGGACUGGAACUGGCCUGGAAACAGUGAAGGACCAGCCUGCGGUGCCUCUGCCAGCAAAAACAGAGCUCGCGAGGGCUGCAUGCGGCCCUCCUGAGCCGCAUGCAGAGGGUUGCCGGCAGAGGGUUGGAGGAGGCCGUCGCACCCCCCUCCCCAGCUCUGUUUUCACUGGCAGAGGGUUGCAGGAGGCCAUCACAGCCGAAAAUGGAGCCUGGGAGCUUGUUUUUGCUGGCAGAGCCCUCGGGCCACCACAGGCGUUCCCUGACACGACUGACGUCAUGCUGACCAUCCCCAUCCUGGCCAUCACCGUUUCAAAGCCGAAGAGCCAGCACUGUCUGAAGACGUCUCCGUGGUCAUGUGGCCGGCAUGACUCCACGCCAAAGGCGCACAGAAUGCUGCUACGUUCCCACCAAAGGUGGUCCCUAUUUUUCUACUUGCAUUUUUUUUAUGUGCUUUCGAACUGCUAGGUUGGCAGAAGCUGGGACAAGUAACGGGAGCUCACCCCGUUACGCGGCAUGAGGGAUUCGAACGGCUGAACUGCCGACCUUUCGAUUGACAAGCUCAGCGUCUUAACCGCUGAGCCACCGCGUCCCAUAUUUGGAAUUGUUACGCCACCCUAAAUAAACCCGCUGUCCUUUUGAACUCUAUCCUGGCUCCUGAUUUCCUGCGCCUGCCAGAUUCUUUGACAAAAGCAAUGCGUUUCCUCUUAACUGCUUUUCCCUUCUGUUCUUCGUCCUCUUUCUGAUGACUUUUUACCACACUGUUGCAUCAUGCAAUUUUACCACAGUCGGAAUUUGAAAUAAUUACCAUCACUUCUGAGUGUUGCUUGCUUCCCACAGAGGAUGGCCCGCUGGCUGCAAGGAAGGAACAGAGAUAUCUCACCGAGAUUCAGUUCUGUGCUGAUAAAUUAUCAUAUGCUUAGGGGUAACCUUCCUACUAUAACCUCCUGAAUUAAUUCUUUAUUUCUGUACUUGUAUCUUGCUGGAAAGAAAAAAAAUCCAUCUGGUUCAGUUCCAAACUGGGGGAAAGGAGAAAGACAAAAUGGAGGCUGAAGGCUGAUUGGAAAGGAAGGUUCUCUUUAAAGUUCACUCUGCUAAACAAAUAAUUCCCUCAACACUGUCAAAUUAUUUACUAAGUCUGCACUACUAUUAAUCUUCUCAUCAUUCCCAUCACCCAUCUCCUUCCACUUAUAACUGUAUGACUGUAACUUUGUUGCUUGAAUCCUUACAAUUUAUAUUGAUAUUGUU